rnacentral:lncRNA from 1 species
GUGAAAGACAAAAGUUUAAGACAAAACUAAAGGAUUUCUAAUUCAAGGACAGCAAGAGGUCAUUAGAAAAGUGAAUGAGACCAACCACUUUAUUGUCCUUAUAACAAUUAUGGAUUUUCUAAUGUUAGGCAACUAGGUGGUUGUAGAAUUUCUACAUUAAUAGAACAUCACUAUGCAAUAAUGAUCAUGGCUUCUAUUUUCCCCCAACAAGAUUGUCAUUGAAAUAAUGAAAGCUUAUGAAAGAAUAGAAAGGAAAUUUUAUAGAAGAAGAAAAUAGGACCCAUGACAGAGCACUGGGGGAUUUCCAUGGUUAAUGGGUAUGAUAGAGGUGAAGAUCGAGCAAAGGAGACAGAAAAAAAGUUCAGACAUGCAGAAGAACUGGAAGAGAGCUGUUUCAUGAAAACCUAUAGAGAAGAGAGCAUCCAGGAGGAGAGUAAUUGACAAUUUUAAAGGCUAUAGAGAGGUCAAGAGAAUUGAAGAUCAAGAAAAGGCUGUGAGAUUUGCCAAUUAAGAUAUCAUCCCUAGCUUUGGAGAGAGCAGUUUUAUUUGAAUAAUGAGGUCAGAAGUUAGAGCAAAGGGAGUUAAGAAGAAAGGAAAGAAAAUAUUGGCACCUGUUAAAGAUGAUUUUUUCAAACGAGUUUAUUAAGAAAUAGAAGAAGAGGUAGAUAAAGCAAUGAAAAGCUUGGUAACUUAUAUCCAUGCUGAAUUCUCUUAUUAGGAUAUUAGCACAUCAAGCUAGCAUUUCUACAACAAGAUUGAAGAAUUGUGCUAAUAAUAAUGGACAUCUCUGCUUCACCUCUGAUUUUAUUGCAUGCUCAGAAGACCUGACGUGGGCAAAACAUUGUAAAAACAUAGAGGAAAGUGAAAGGAAGUGGAUUAAAUAAUUUACAAUUUAUUUCCUUAAAGAGUAAUUAUUGAGCCUGGGACAAAUAGCACAAAAGCUAUUCAAAAAAAUCAGCACCUUAGCUAACUAAUGGCAGAGUGUAGAUGAAAGAACUCACUCAUGGUAAUCAAUUCUUAAAGACGGUUUCCAAAAUAAAAGCAUAAAAAUGGAACCUUUUAGUUUUAAC